CAGGGAGACAAACUGAUCGUGAUGUCUGAGUACUUUAUUCUCAGGCCAUGAUCCUGUCACCUUAGGUCGAUCGGUACCUCGCAGAGAGGAUGAGAGAGCCUGAGCAAUCAGGGGAGAUUCAUCUGAUCUGAUUCAGUUCCUAAACUUUGUCUAGGUCACCCCGUAGCUCCUGGGCCAUUAGCUCAGGUGGUUAGAGCGCACCCCUGAUAAGGGUGAGGUCCCUGGUUCAAGUCCAGGAUGGCCCAUUCACAGCCUGUUUAGCAGGCAGGACUUGACUAGCUGGGGGUUUAGCUCAGUUGGUAGAGCGCCUGCUUUGCAAGCAGGAUGUCAGCGGUUCGAGUCCGCUAACCUCCAUAUCAACGCGGCCCCAUAAGCGGAAGCAAGUGAGCUGAAUCGGAGUGACCAAGAUAGGGAAGGAGAAGAGCUGAGGAUGACUCCAGCCUUCAGGAUUCAAGGAUGAUCGCCUAGGGAAUGGGUGAGACCAAUCUUUGAAUAUUGAAUGCUGGACUCACACCAGCAAGCAGAAGCUUGCUUGGUGAGAUGUUCAGCGAAGAACCUUGACAACUGCAUAGGUGAGUCUGGAAAGAAAGCAUCUCAUGGAUGACCAGUGAAAACUGGAAAUUCUAUUGAGUUUAGAGCCGAGGCUUUCCAGCGUUCUUCCAAGUCCCUGACCAAUCCAGUCAGGGUGAGGGAGUUUGAUUGUGGUGUUCAAACCGCAAGCGAUCAGAAGCUGUGAAUCGAAAGGUUAAUGGCUUGUGAUGGUGAGCAGGUGAACCCGUAAGAAGCGGUUUCAACAGCCGUAAGACGUUGGUGAGUUUAAUU
rnacentral:tRNA from 1 species